rnacentral:rRNA from 1 species
CCUACGGGGGGCAGCAGUGAGGAAUAUUGGUCAAUGGCCGGAAGGCUGAACCAGCCAUGCCGCGUGAAGGUCAGUGCCCUAUGGGCGUUAAACUUCUUUUGUGCGGGAGCAAUAAUGGUCACGUGUGGCCAGACGAGAGUACCGUACGAAUAAGCAUCGGCUAACUCCGUGCCAGCAGCCGCGGUAAUACGGGGGAUGCAAGCGUUAUCCGGAUUUAUUGGGUUUAAAGGGUGCGUAGGCUGUGAGGUAAGUCAGCGGUGAAAUGCCCCAGCUCAACGGGGUGAAGUGCCAUUGAUACUGCCUGGCUGGAAUGCGGAUGCCGUGGGAGGAAUGUGUGGUGUAGCGGUGAAAUGCAUAGAUAUCACACAGAACACCGAUUGCGAAGGCAUCUCACGAAUCCGCGAUUGACGCUGAUGCACGAAAGCGUGGGUAUCAAACAGGAUUAGAUACCCGUGUAGUC